UAUAAUUAACCUACAUUUUAAUCGCCGUCUUCGCGAUUAGCUAAUCGCGUUCUUUCAAAUCGCAAUUUUGAUUUGAAAACGAUUAAUCGUUCAGCCAUACUUCUCAUAUAUUAAGAACGCUAAAGGUGAAACUGCAUUUAUUGGAAGCAAUUGCACAUUAGCAGCCAUCUCCGAAUGCAUAGGGGACGUAGUAAAUACGCAGCACACGCGCAAUAAGGAGGUUUUAAGGGGCAUUCCAGCAAUUUAGUACUGCAUUUCCAUAAGGUCGGGGACCCAUAAGAAACAGAUCAACAGUCAAAGUCGAAGCCACAGAGAUAUCCUAACUUUUAGUCCCACAAAUGCUAGAUCCUAUAUUUCCCAUAAUGCAACUUUAUAAGGAUUGAUUAUACAACUGUUACUGAAAUGUAUAUGUGAAAAUGCUGAAUCACUGUUAAAUCAUCUGUUGAAUAACUCUAAAGGGGCACUACAACCAUUGACGUGACUGAAGACUGACCAGAGAGAUUUUAUACAUCAGCUGUUUUCACACGCUGAGUACUGCUCCCCGUGCAAGUUAACUGAACUAUAGGUGUAAGAUUGGUGCACUGUCCCUUUAACAGCAGCAAAAAACACAGUUCAGGUCCGGGUUAUAAGAGAUGAAACCCCAGUGAUGAACUCACAUAUCAAAGACUUUUCACUUUCUUGCGUCUGAGUAGAAGGAGCUUAAAGCUGUUGAAGAUCUUCUGAAGCUCAAAACAGCUCAAAAACUCAAGUUCUUAUUUUAAUCUCUCCAGAAACAUCAAUGUCGGGUAAAAUCUCUUGUUCUAGUGCCUGUACGGGUGGACUGUGCAACAAAUAUAAAAUGUGUGUGCACGUACAUCAUAUUGUAUGAGAGGCAGCAAAAGUUAUAUUUGUUUACUACAGUAACGCAUUGUAUUAUUUUCUCAUGUCUGAAAUACUAGGGUUAAUGUGAUAUUGGUAGUGGGUACUGGUAUUGGUUCUAUUUGUAUGUUGCUAAUUUGCCGUAAUUGAAGGCUUUUGAUUUCUAUGUUGUAAAGAUCUUACACGUGGGCACACCUCGUCUCUGUUUUUAAUAAGACUGAAUGCAGGUAUGUAAUUAUGGAGUGUAUAUUCCUUGUUUGAGUGUAUAAAUAAAUCUCCUUUAUUUUAUAUCCCUGUGCUACCACCAGACUAGAAAAAAAGAUGUCUUUUUAUUUGACAAAAUUAAAACAAAUGCAAUGUAAAAGAUAAAAAAGCCUUAAACUAGUACCUUUUGGAAGUCAAAGAUGUGACACACUUAGAAAAACUGUGUUUCAUCACUUCAGACUGAACAGCAGACAGCCUGCCCCUCUUCUGCUAAUUCUUUAAUGCCAUUUCAGUGUGAAGGAGUCGACUCUCCAUCUCCAUGUGGGAGGACGGGAGUCUUUUCCAGCAGGAUGUAAAAAACAGCCCUCAGAAACCAAAAGAUCUUGUCACUUGAUUUUAAAAAAAUGCUCAUUUGGUGAAUCUGUAUCCGUGUGUGUCGACUAUCUCUGAGGGACUCACCAAACACUCCAGGAGCCUGGCUGGACGAGAUAUGAUGAUAAAGAGCUUUUUCACCAGCUCAAUGACGAAGCAGCCUCUCCAGGUUCUCCUGCAGUUCACAGAAGUAGACGCUGGUGAUGAGGCCCUCACGAGAUUUGGUCAGGCAAUCCCUGGACAGCUCGGCUACCUGGUGGUGGAUGAAGCUGAGGACACCAUCGGCCAGUGGUAGAACACUCUCUGGGGAGUAGUUGUGGAUGAACUCUGCCAACCUCUCCUCCAUCUGAGCUGUGGCCUGAUUGAAUACAAGACGGUGGUUAACGGUCACUUCUGUCAUCUUGUCAGGCCAGUGUUGAGAAGAUAACGCAAUCAACGGAUCUCCCUGGGUUGUGACAUCCCGGCUACAACACCUUGACAAUUUCUUCUGCCUGUAUGGUGUGUUCGGUGUGUGCCACGGAUGUCAACUGAUGCACGACAAGUGAUGUGACUCUAUGUGACUCGUCUGCUGUUUGAUAAACUUACAGGUUUCUAUUUUUGA